GAAAAAAACGAUAUAACAGUGCUCAUAUCAUUUGUUUGGUUAAAAAAUUUAUUUUUAAUUAAUCAUUUUAACAUUAAAUACAACGGAAAAAAGAAGUGCCGUUUUUUGAACGCAUUUUAAAGAAAGUAAAAAUGAAGAACGAUAAAAUAGAAAGUGAGAAAUUAAGAAUCCUUACAACUAUGUAUUUAUAAUUUAAUUUGAGUGAACAAUUUGUCCUAGAAAACGCAUCUAAUAUCAAAAAUAAUGAAUUCGUACCAAAAUACAACUUAGUAAAUGCAUUAUUUCUUCAGAAUGAAAACUUUGGUAUAUCUUCCAAAAGUUAUAAAAACGCAAAUUUUUGACAAAAUACCCAUAUCGGAAAUAUACUUUUAUAAGAAAUAUUAUUCUGUAAACGCAGAAAGGUCAAAAAUUACUUCGUCUAUCAAAAAAAUUUAAGGCACAACGAUUAUUGUUACAUUGUUUUUGUCAAGAAAGUGACUUAAAAAUGCAUAGGUAUUAAAAAUCAUCAAAGACAAAAAUAGGCGGAACCCAAACUGUCACCAGACCAAGCAAUAUUGGGAAACUUUAACCCAACCUAAAACGCGCCUGGAUGAUCAUAACCUGCCAAAACUAAUCAAACUGACUAACCAUUAGUUUUGGUCUAUCAUAUUUUUGUGUCUAGAUUCCGUGAAGGAAAGCACGGAAUUGCUCUCACAGCGCUUUAGGAUGAAUCGAGAGAUCUCGUUCGCUUCAGUAUUUUUGUCUAGAUGGAAUUUCAAUAAAAAAUAGCCUAUAAAUUUUUUAUCAAUUUUUUUAAUUUUUUUUUACACUGGCCAAAUUAAAUUUACUGUUUUAAAAGCUCCUAUUUUUUAUUUUGUUUUUUUUUUAUAGGGGCAACAUUUAUCGACAGCAGGAAUAAAUAUAGAAGAAGCGGAAAAGCUGAGAAUUGUGAAUUCAGUGAUUUACAAAUUGCGUACAAACUAAUCUAUCUACAAACUCUACCUCUAUUCAUCUACAAAUUUGAACAUCAAACGCACAUACACUGUAAAAUUUUGUUGAAACCGACAAUUUUUCAAAUAAAAUUUUGAAACGAUCAAAAAAUAAUUUAACCUUAUCAUCAUUUGGUCGUCAUCAGAAAUCAACCAAUUACAAACUAUUAAUAGUAAUAGUACCAAUAUUUUCCAUUGUACAACUAUCUUUUUGGGAAAUUACAAUAAAAUACGUACUAGACAACAAGUUUUUCCAGUUUUUAAAUUUAUAUGCUUGAUU